GCCUCGGUAGCUCAGUCGGUAGAGGCGCGUGCCUUUUAAGCCCGUGGUCGUGGGUUCCGAGCUCGCCGAGGUG